GAUUAUGGCUCAGGACGAACGCUGGCGGCGUGCUUAACACAUGCAAGUCGAACGGGGAUAGCGUUGGAAGUCCUUCGGGGUGGAAGAUGCUAUUCGAGUGGCGGACGGGUGAGUAACGCGUGAACAAUCUGUCCCAGACAGGGGGAUAACACUUGGAAACAGGUGCUAAUACCGCAUAAGACCACGGUGUCGCAUGGCACAGGGGUAAAAGGAGCGAUCCGGUUUGGGGUGAGUUCGCGUCCGAUUAGCCAGUUGGCGGGGUAACGGCCCACCAAAGCGACGAUCGGUAGCCGAUCUGAGAGGAUGACCGGCCACAUUGGAACUGAGAGACGGUCCAAACUCCUACGGGAGGCAGCAGUGGGGAAUAUUGGGCAAUGGGCGAAAAAGCCUGACCCAGCAACGCCGCGUGAGUGAAGAAGGCCUUCGGGUUGUAAAGCUCUGUUAUAGGGGACGAAGGAAGUGACGGUACCCUAUAAGGAAGCCCCGGCUAACUACGUGCCAGCAGCGGC
rnacentral:rRNA from 1 species